rnacentral:rRNA from 1 species
AACGAACGCUGGCGGCAGGCCUAACACAUGCAAGUCGAACGCCCCGCAAGGGGAGUGGCGCACGGGUGAGUAACGCGUGGGAACCUGCCCUUCGGUUCGGGACAACCCAGGGAAACUUGGGCUAAUACCGGAUGAUCUCCGCGAGGAGGAAAGAUUUCUCGCCGGAGGAGGGGCCCGCGACGGAUUAGGUAGUUGGUGAGGUAACGGCUCACCAAGCCUUCGAUCCGUAGCCGGGCUGAGAGGAUGAUCGGCCACACUGGGACUGAGACACGGGCCGGACUCCUCCGGAGGGCAGCAGUGUGGAAUAUUGGACAGUGGGGGCAGCCCUGAUCCAGCCAUGCCGCGUGAAUGAUGAAGGCCUUCGGGUUGUAAAGUCCUUUCGCGCACGACGAUGAUGACGGUAGUGCGAGAAGAAGUCUCGGCUAACUCCGUGCCAGCCGCCGCCGUAA